GGGUAGUUCAUUCCAGUAUUUUGCUGAUCUAUUAUAUAGUUGGUUGUGUCUUGGAAGACAAUUUGGAACAUAUUCACGUCUUAUUUUAAGAUGGUGACCACGUGACAAUUAGUUAAUAAAUUUUGGUUGAUAUAUAUUAUUAAUUAUAUUAAAUCGAUGUAUUAGUCUGAAAAUUUGGAUAAGAUCGCAUCGUAGGCGCCGAAACUCAAGUGAUGGUAGAUUGAAUCUUUCGUAGUAUUGAAAAUUUCUCAAGCUUAAAGCCCAUUUUGUAGCUUUACGUUAAACAGAUUUAGCAAAACUACGUCAGAUUUUAAAUACGGGGCCCAAGCAGACACUGAAUAUUCAAGAUUGGUUACACAAGACUUAUGAUGAAGGAAGCCAUGUUGAUUUGUAGAGAGCAGAUUGUUAUCGUUGAUGUGCUUUAAGAUUUUAUUCUUUAGAACUUUUUCAAAUAUUUUGCACCCAACCUAGGUUAGUGAAAUAGAUCGAUAGUUUUUCAGGAAGUAGUUUUCAUUUUUUAUGUCAGUAAAAAAGUCUAACAAGCUUGACAAUUUUU